rnacentral:rRNA from 1 species
GAGUUUGAUCCUGGCUCAGGAUGAACGCUAGCGGCAGGCCUAACACAUGCAAGUCGAGGGGUAACGAUGUCUUCGGACAGUCGACGACCGGCGCACGGGUGAGUAACGCGUAUACAACCUACCUUUAACAGGAGGAUAGCCCCGAGAAAUCGGGAUUAAUACUCCAUAACAUUGAUUUACCGCAUGGUAUUUCGAUUAAAACUCCGGUGGUUAAAGAUGGGUAUGCGUGACAUUAGCUAGUUGGUAAGGUAACGGCUUACCAAGGCGACGAUGUCUAGGGGUUCUGAGAGGAUGAUCCCCCACACUGGUACUGAGACACGGACCAGACUCCUACGGGAGGCAGCAGUGAGGAAUAUUGGUCAAUGGACGCAAGUCUGAACCAGCCAUGCCGCGUGCAGGAAGACUGCCCUACGGGUUGUAAACUGCUUUUAUAUAGGAAGAAUGUUAUCCACGUGUGGGUAUUUGACGGUACUAUAUGAAUAAGGAUCGGCUAACUCCGUGCCAGCAGCCGCGGUAAUACGGAGGAUCCAAGCGUUAUCCGGAUUUAUUAGGUUUAAAGGGUGUGCAGGCGGGAUAAUAAGUCAGUGGUGAAAUCCUACAGCUUAACUGUAGAACUGCCAUUGAAACUGUUAUUCUUGAGUACAAUUGAGGUAGGCGGAAUGUGUCAUGUAGCGGUGAAAUGCAUAGAGAUGACACAGAACACCGAUUGCGAAGGCAGCUUACUAAAUUGUUACUGACGCUGAGACACGAAAGCGUGGGGAGCGAACAGGAUUAGAUACCCUGGUAGUCCACGCCGUAAACGAUGAUUACUCGUUGUGUGCGAUACACAGUACGCGACCGAGCGAAAGCAUUAAGUAAUCCACCUGGGGAGUACGUUGGCAACAAUGAAACUCAAAGGAAUUGACGGGGGCCCGCACAAGCGGAGGAACAUGUGGUUUAAUUCGAUGAUACGCGAGGAACGAUACGUGGACUUAAAUGUAGAUUGACCGGACUAGAGAUAGUUUUUUCUUCGGACAAUUUACAAGGUGCUGCAUGGUUGUCGUCAGCUCGUGCCGUGAGGUGUCGGGUUAAGUCCCAUAACGAGCGCAACCCACGUUGUUAGUUACCAGCACAUAAUGGUUGGCACUCUAACAAGACUGCCGGUGUAAACCGCGAGGAAGGUGUGGAUGACGUCAAAUCAGCACGGCCCUUACGUCCAGGGCUACACACGUGUUACAAUGGCCGGUACAGAGGGCCGCUACCUAGCGAUAGGAUGCUAAUCUCCAAAACCGGUCUCAGUUCGGAUCGAAGUCUGCAACCCGACUUCGUGAAGCUGGAUUCGCUAGUAAUCGCAUAUCAGCCAUGAUGCGGUGAAUACGUUCCCGGGCCUUGUACACACCGCCCGUCAAACCAUGGAAGCCGGGGGUACCUGAAGUCUGUCACCGUAAGGAGCGGCCUAGGGUAAAUCUGGUAACUAGGGUUAAGUCGGAACAAGGUAGCC